GAGAUCGAGCGUUAUCCGGAUUUAUUGGGUUUAAGGGAGCGUAGAUGGAUGUUUAAGUCAGUUGUGAAAGUUUGCGGCUCAACCGUAAAAUUGCAGUUGAUACUGGAUAUCUUGAGUGCAGUUGAGGCAGGCGGAAUUCGUGGUGUAGCGGUGAAAUGCUUAGAUAUCACGAAGAACUCCGAUUGCGAAGGCAGCCUGCUAAGCUGCAACUGACAUUGAGGCUCGAAAGUGUGGGUAUCAAACAGGAUUAGAUACCCUGGUAGUCCACACGGUAAACGAUGAAUACUCGCUGUUUGCGAUAUACAGCAAGCGGCCAAGCGAAAGCGUUAAGUAUUCCACCUGGGGAGUACGCCGGCAACGGUGAAACUCAAAGGAAUUGACGGGGGCCCGCACAAGCGGAGGAACAUGUGGUUUAAUUCGAUGAUACGCGAGGAACCUUACCCGGGCUUAAAUUGCAGAUGAAUUACGGUGAAAGCCGUAAGCCGCAAGGCAUCUGUGAAGGUGCUGCAUGGUUGUCGUCAGCUCGUGCCGUGAGGUGUCGGCUUAAGUGCCAUAACGAGCGCAACCCUUGUUGUCAGUUACUAACAGGUUCUGCUGAGGACUCUGACAAGACUGCCAUCGUAAGAUGUGAGGAAGGUGGGGAUGACGUCAAAUCAGCACGGCCCUUACGUCCGGGGCUACACACGUGUUACAAUGGGGGGUACAGAGGGCCGCUACCACGCGAGUGGAUGCCAAUCCCAAAAACCUCUCUCAGUUCGGACUGGAGUCUGCAACCCGACUCCACGAAGCUGGAUUCGCUAGUAAUCGCGCAUCAGCCACGGCGCGGUGAAUACGUUCCCGGGCCUUGUACACACCGCCCGUCAAGCCAUGGGAGCCGGGGGUACCUGAAGUGCGUAACCGCGAGGAGCGCCCUA
rnacentral:rRNA from 1 species